rnacentral:tRNA from 1 species
AAGGGCAUAGCUGAGUGGUAAAGCACAUACCUAGCAUGCACAUGGUCCUGGGUUCAAUCCCUAGUACCUCUA